rnacentral:lncRNA from 1 species
GAGCACAAUGGGAUUACAAAAAGAAAAAAGAAGGAAGACUGAGGAGUGAUUGGCCCUAAGCGGAACAUCUAUGUUAUGUCCCUUUCCUCUAAGGUUCAGGAGUCAUCUGAGAAGAGGGGCAGGCGAUCUGUAAGAGCCAGAGGUCACGAAGACUGGAGUGUCUUUUGGACAUGGCAGAAUGGCUGCAUUCAUGAGCUCACAGCAGUUGCAGGAGGCCUGAGUUCAACUGAGUUACCACCUGGCUGACCCACUGUCACUUGGCAGUUCAGCGGUCCCUGCUGAGCAGGACAAGGACUGAGGACAUCCGCGGAGGGUUCCACAUAGAUGUAACCGGCUGAGGCUGGAGCAGAUGCUGUCGGGUAUGUGGGGAGGAACACUGUUACCUGGCAGCUCAGAGGUCCCUGCUGAGCAGGUCAGGGAUUGAGGACAUCUGUGGAGGAUUUCGCACAGAUGUAACCUGCUGAGACUGGAGCAGAUGCUGUCAGGACUCCAAGGUGGAUGACAUUGCCAAGUUCCUGGAGUACUUCCUCAGAGAGGCUCAGCAGAGAGAGAUGUUAAAGAUAAUGCCAGUUGGCACUACCGAGUCGUGAUCACCCUUAUCCAUUCUGGAGAGGGUAUUCACUGUGAUAGCCAGAGGCCCCCAGAGGCUCAUCUAAGCCGCACAAGAUGGCUGCAUUCUUCUCAGCUCUCAGAGCAUGAAGACUAUCUUAACCCAGGAAGGCAGCUCAUUGUCAAAGUGAAGCCCAACAGGGAUGAACCAUGGGAGGAGGCUGGGGGGGGGUCCUCUAGAGACCCCCGUGCUCAUGUGACAAUUUUGGAGGUCCAAUCAGGCUACAGUGGCCAGAGAGAUCAUAAAGGCAGGUCAGGUGGGGCACAGGCAGCCAGCAUGGGAGGUGAUGUCCGAUGAUGCUUUCCUGGUCUCUGAGGCUGGGAUCGUCACUGUACUGCAUCCAGGUACGAAAGCUCGGGUUGUUAGUAAGGUUGACCGCACUACAGAGAUCUAGUCUGACAAGCAGCUUCUGGAACAUGCUGCUUACAUUCUUUCAGACCUCCAUGCUGCCACCUUCCUACAACAGCUGGGACUUGAACCUAGGUCUGCGCUUGCGCUAGGGGUCCACAGAGCAUCCACUCCAAUGUCUGAAAUAUGCCGGCUGCUCCCCAGACGAAUGAGAACAAGAAGCUAGAAUAAGAGAGGAGGGCUGUGGUGAUGUGAAAAGUAUCAAAAUAAAACUCCCUGGAAAACAAGAAGCAACCGGAGGAGCGAAUCUUGCUCUUGAGGGUGAUGAGAAGGAAAAGGCUUUUAUUACUAAGAACAAAGCCAGAAUGUGGGAUAUACCACAAGAAUUCACCGAGAGACUGCAAAGGCAGGAAGGCAAUUCAGUCCUAGACAGCCAAGCAGAUACAAUGCAGUCGGAACAGUCUCUUAAGACAAACAUCUGCUUCUCAAGAAUGAAUUAUAACAAGCCAGCAGAAGCAGCAUAAACAAGAUGAGAUACAACCGAAGAAAAGCAAGUGCCAAUUGUAAUUGGUUUUCUGGAGGAGAGAGAGCUUGGAUCAGUUUGAAAGACAAGGAAGGUAGAGGAAGGUUAAUUGGAGAUGGUUAUUUAUAGGUUUAUGUCUCUUACAUUUUAUGUAUGAAAAUCAUCACAUUCUGGUGUUUUUUUUUGACUCUUGUCUCUCCUCAUCCCUGAGCUCAGCUGGUCCUUCCAUAGAGUGGCAUCUGCAUGGUGUGGUCUGCUUCACCUCUGCCAAGUUUGUUGGAGUAGUAAAAAGGCUUACCACAGCUCCUGGACUCAGUCCAGUGAACCACAGUUUUUUGGGCUAGGUACUUAGAAAUGCAUUUUUAAUAUGCUGGAAAAGUAAAUGCCAUGGCCAUUAAACUUUCAGAACGGAUUUUAGAGAAAAGCUGAGGAGACAAGCUUUUAAAACAGGCUGGGUUCUGAGGAGCUACAAUCUUUGCUGCCAUGUUUGAUCAUCCCUCAGAUUUCAGCAGCUGACUGGCGGGUGGAGCUUGAUGGCUGCCUGAAAAAUUGGUCUGUCAGAUGGACACAGGUCCUGAGUCUUCUAGUUGGUUGCCUACACACAGGAACACCUUCAGCAAAGCUCAGUUAUUCACCAUUGCGGUUAUUCAUUGAUAUGAAGAAAUGCAUCUAAUAUGUCCUUCGGGGAUUUGGGCUGAAUGGGAAAAAGGUGUGCUAAUGAAGGCUGGUAGCCAGAAACUGGGAUUCCUAAGCUCCUAUCAUCCUAAGACAGAGGCGGCACCAAAAGGCUGUGUUUGUUCAUAACAAACGCUAAAAGGCCGUGUUUGUUCAAAUAAACACAAACAAGCUGCGCAUGUUCUCAAAGACGGGUAAGAAGGAGUGAUAUAGACUCAGACCUAAGCCAGGCAACAACAGUUUAUCUAUAAAAAAUUAAAAGGGAGAAACUGUACCCUUUCCUGAGCCUUGAAUUGGCUAGACAACUCUUCCUGCCUGAGACUUGAACUACUGCCUGCCUGCUGAGCUGCUGAAGAGCUUACUUUGCAACUCAAUCCAGCUGAAACAAAGGGAUGGGUUUUUGGGUUUUGCCUAUAUAAAAGCAGAGCUGAAAAAUUAAAAUUUGAGCCAUGAUUAGAGAAACUUUGUCUUGGCUCUUUAUUUCUCUCAUCUGCCUAUCCUAAUUCCACCACAGCUCUCCUUCUAGGUAUACCUGGCU